GCAUCCUCAUAGCUUAGCUUCAUUUACAAGUGAGAAUAUAUGGUAUUUGGUUUUCCAGUCCUGAGUUACUUCCCUUAGAACAAUGGCCUCCAACUUCAUCCAAGGUGCUGCAAAGGCCAUUAUUUCGUUCCGUUUUAUGGCUGAGUAGUAUUCCAUCAUGUAUGUGUACCACAUUUUCUUUAUCCACUAGAGAUAAACCAGGUUUUGAAUUCAGGAUCCACCUCUCCUGAGCUGUGAGCACAUGGGCAAGUUUCCUCACCAGUCCAAGCCUGUUUUCUCAUCUCUAAAAUGGAGACAAUGACGGUUCCUCCCUCACUGAGCACUUGUGAGAAGUAAGUGGUGAUCACGGUUACAAAGUGUUCAGCACAGUGCCUGGAACACGGUAAGCGUUCAAUCAGUGC
rnacentral:lncRNA from 10 species